rnacentral:sRNA from 1 species
UUUCUCUGGCCCCUGCUGAGGAGCCAUGCCUGGUGGUGGCUGGGAGCAAUGAGUCACCGGCCUGAGAAGGAGUGGCCUGUUAAGAGUCUCAAAGUCUACCUGGGAGUGAAGAAGAAACUCAGGCCACCCACCUGCUGGGGCUUCACAGUGGUGCAUGAGACAGAGAAACAUGAGAAGCAGCAGUGGUACCUCUGCUGUGACACACAGAUGGAGCUCCGGGAGUGGUUCGCUACCUUCCUGUUUGUGCAGGUACCAGGUGCAGAGUGUGGGGUGUGGGGUGGGUCCCUGGAGGCUUCCAUUAUGGAGAAUGGGGACAUUGGUUUCUGUGCUAUUCAACCCACCCCUUGCUUCAAGGAGAUUUUGAGUUGCUUUUAAUUCAUUUGCUAGUUUAUUCAAUAAACCCUUCCUAGCACCUACUGUUAGUCCAG